UGUCCGGGUUAAAGGUCCCUUUUAAACGAGCGCAACCCUCAUUGCAUGUAAUUUUUCAUGCGAGACUGCCCUGGGUUAACAGGGAGGAAGGUGGGGAUGACGUCAAGUCAGCAUGGCCCUUACACCUUGGGCUACACACGUGUUACAAUGGCCGGUACAAUAAGUCGCAAUACCGUAAGGUGGAGCUAAUCUAUGAAAACCGGUCCCAGUUCGGAUUGGGGGCUGAAACUCGCCCCCAUGAAGUCGGAAUCGCUAGUAACCGUGAAUCAGCACGUCACGGUGAAUACGUUCCCGGGUCUU
rnacentral:rRNA from 1 species